GAUCCUGGCUCAGGACGAACGCUGGCGGCGUGCCUAAUACAUGCAAGUAGAACGCUGAAGGAGGAGCUUGCUUCUCCGGAUGAGUUGCGAACGGGUGAGUAACGCGUAGGUAACCUGCCUGGUAGCGGGGGAUAACUAUUGGAAACGAUAGCUAAUACCGCAUAAUAGCAGUUGUUUCAUGACAGCUGUUUAAAAGGUGCAAUUGCACCACUACCAGAUGGACCUGCGUUGUAUUAG
rnacentral:rRNA from 1 species